rnacentral:rRNA from 1 species
AUUGAACGCUGGCGGAAUGCUUUACACAUGCAAGUCGAGCGGCAGCACGGGGGCAACCCUGGUGGCGAGCGGCGAACGGGUGAGUAAUACAUCGGAACAUGCCCAGUCGUGGGGGAUAACACUUCGAAAGAAGUGCUAAUACCGCAUACGUCCUGAGGGAGAAAGCGGGGGAUCUUCGGACCUCGCGCGAUUGGAGUGGCCGAUGUCAGAUUAGCUAGUUGGUGGGGUAAAGGCCUACCAAGGCAACGAUCUGUAGCUGGUCUGAGAGGAUGAUCAGCCACACUGGGACUGGGACACGGCCCAGACUCCUACGGGAGGCAGCAGUGGGGAAUAUUGGACAAUGGGCGCAAGCCUGAUCCAGCCAUACCGCGUGGGUGAAGAAGGCCUUCGGGUUGUAAAGCCCUUUUGUUGGGAAAGCAAUCCAGCUGGCUAAUACCCGGUUGGGAUGACGGUACCCAAAGAAUAAGCACCGGCUAACUUCGUGCCAGCCGCCGCGGUAAGAC